AACGCGAAGAACCUUACCUAGACUUGACAUCUCCUGAAUUACUCUUAAUCGAGGAAGUCACUUCGGUGACAGGAAGACAGGUGGUGCAUGGUUGUCGUCAGCUCGUGUCGUGAGAUGUUGGGUUAAGUCCCGCAACGAGCGCAACCCCUAUUGUUAGUUGCUACCAUUUAGUUGAGCACUCUAGCGAGACUGCCCGGGUUAACCGGGAGGAAGGUGGGGAUGACGUCAAAUCAUCAUGCCCCUUAUGUCUAGGGCUACACACGUGCUACAAUGGCUGGUACAGAGAGAUGCGAUACCGUGAGGUGGAGCCAAACUUUAAAACCAGUCUCAGUUCGGAUUGUAGGCUGAAACUCGCCUACAUGAAGCUGGAGUUGCUAGUAAUCGCGAAUCAGAAUGUCGCGGUGAACACGUUCCCGGGCCUUGUACACACCGCCCGU
rnacentral:rRNA from 1 species